UAAAACACUCAUUACACAAAUUUUAAAACAAUCUAACUGAAGGUCCAUUUAUUAUACGCUGAAAAAAGGUAUAAAUAUGCAAUUCAGGUAUGAUCACAGGGCUAUUGCACAUUGUCUGAGUUUUAGCCAAUCACCUUAACUUUUGCUUUGCAAACCUCAGAUCAUCUCAGUCAUGAGACAAGACAUCAGUUGUGCAAGAGAGGGACGUUGUACCACAAUGUUCGGACAACUAGCUGCUUUGAUUCUUCUUAGUGGAGCAUCUCUGAUUCAAACUGCAGAGGUUUCUCAGCAGAUCCCUCUGACUGUGGUUGAAGUUGGUGACAAUUUGAAUCUGAAAUGUCCAGUCUUUGGGGAUGAAACCAGGUUGUUUUACUGGUACAAGCAAAAUUUUGGAUAUAUGGUCCAAACAGUGGCUGCGGGGACUUUUGACAAAUUAACACUUGAAGGACAAUUUGACAACCCAAGAUUCAAAGUCACAAAAGUGGGUGAUCAUUAUUCUCUAAUCAUAAGGAAUGUAAGCAAAGAAGAUGAGGCAACAUACUUCUGUCAAACAGGAUCAGCAUAUAAAAUGAAAUUCACAAAAGGCACAAUAUUGGCUGUGAAUGAUCAUAAAAAUCGUCCAAUAUCGAUUUAUAUGAAGCAAAAACCGGAGACUGAGUCAGUCCAGCUGGGAGACCCAGUGACUCUCCAGUGUUCACUUCUCUCCAAGAGCAACGAAACCAGCGUCCAGUGUCCAGGUGAACACAGUGUGCACUGGUUCAGAGCUGGAAUAGAAGGAUCAGAUUUUGGCAUCGUUUACACUCACAGCAGCAGGAGUGAUGAACAAGAGGAAAGGAGCUGUGUCUACAGUUUGUCCAAAACUAUACAGGACUCCUCUGACACUGGGACUUACUACUGUGCUGUGGUCACAUGUGGACAAAUCCUGUUUGGUGAAGGAACUAAAGUGGAGACAGUUCUAUCAGUUAGGGCAACAUGGUACUCACCAGAGUAACUGCUGAGAUGUUGGGACGUAAUGAUGACGGUCACACAGGACAAGAAACAUGAGCGGUCAGACAAUCAUGCAGGUUGUAAACAACAUCCCCAGGACAAGAGGGACAAGAAUGGAGCCCAGUUGUCAUUGUGCUCGGUGUACUGUUGGCUCUGUGUGUGAUUGUUAUUUCCAUCCUUCUUUUCGCAAGAGAGUAAAGAGACUCACAGAGGAGCUGAUGCACACGCCUCCCAAAUCUUAUCCAUGUGUCACAUGGACCUGAAAGUGAAGACAGCCAAUCAGUUGAUCUAAUGCCUGUAGCGUGAGGGAUUCGUAACAGGAAUGAAAAAACACAGAAACAUUAUACUCAAAAUACAUACAGGUAUGGGAGAUACAACCAUGUGAGUUUCUCCGAAUGAGUGCUGUGCAUGUUGGCGUACAUACACGGGGCUGUUCAGAGAUAUCCACUUCUCCAGACAAACAUGUUCCAGCUUAACUUGUUGUUGGCUAAUGUUGCUUUGUUGUAAUAAGAAUGGAAGAUUGAGUUAAUCUUGUUUGAUAGGUUUCAUUUGCCUUUGCACUGAUCUCUGUCUUUAUUUUUUUAUUAUCAUCAUUAAAUAUCUAUGCAUACUGAUUUGACAAAAUUAGCUGUUACUACAAAUCAUUCUAUUUCACUUUACAGUGCUGUCAUCUUCAAAACUUUAUCCACCUUUUCAACAAAGUGGAUUGACACUUACUGCUAUUAUUAUAAUUAUAAAUGCUAUAAUAAAAGCUGCCAGA